rnacentral:rRNA from 1 species
AUGCUCACCAUUAUAGUAUUCCUCUCCUUAGCUUUCUAUGUGCUUUUCUUAAAUGUCAACAGCCUGGAUAACCUACUAAUUAAUAUCUGCACACUGCAGGAUGAGGUGGCAAGCAUGGAAGUAACCCACAGCCACUUUUCUUCAUAUGCGGCAUGGUACAAACAAUAUGAGAAUUCACGGCACGGUUCUGAGGCAGUACCAGCGAUUGUCAAAAUACCUUACAGGAUGGUGUUGGAUGUUCUUUUAGAGACUCUGGGCCUUCCAGAAGUUGAGUACCGAACCAGAGUAUAUGAUGGCAGCAGGGUGUGUGUGACUGUAUUGUUCUAUAGAACCACAUCAUAUGUUGGGAAUGAUAUUCCUGGGGUACAAUUUGUUGAUCAAUCAAUGCCAGAAGACAGUGCUGCUAUGGAAGCAAUUGGAUACAUUAAAUGCACAGUGAAGACAGAGAUAACAGACUAUAACUACAGCACCAUGAAGAAACUCGAGGAGGAAAAUCGGUCUCUAAAACAUGAGCUUUAUAUAUCUAGGUACAACAAGUAG